AAGAAGUGGUCAUUUGAUUGUCAUCCAUUCAGUCCAAGGCCUUAGACCUUGCGUUUGUUCCUGUCUUCAUAUAGUCAGAAACCAGUGAGCCACCUAGUCUGGUGGAAUGAAACUAUUGUUUUAAAUAACUAACAGCUACCCCCUUAAAUUCAUCAUUUAAUCCACAUGCUAUCUACGAGAUAAUUUUCUAAGUAAGGAAACAGAAUCUUGGCGUAAAAAGCUAAGCUACUUUAAUGUGAUCCUCAAGUCCUUUAAGGGCUAUUUUUAGGGCUGCACAUGUGGCAUAUGGAAGUUCCCAGGCUAGGGGUCGAAUUGGAGUGCAGCUGCCCGUCUACACCACAGCCACAGCAACCCCAGAUCCUUAACCACUGAGCGAGGCAAGGGAUUAAACCCACAUCCUCAUUGAUACCAGCUGGGUUCAUUACCACUGAGCCACAGUGGGAAUUCCCUUUAAGUGUUAUUUUUAAUGUGGAUCCGACUCUUUAAAAAGCAAGGGCACAAACAGUAAGACGCCCUUUAGGCCAGUGGCUCUUCAAUUUUUCGCACUCAAAACUCCUUAUAUAUUCUUAAACAUUAUUUUGCUUAUGAGGAUUAUAUCUAAGACUAUUGAUCAAAAUAGAAUUAAAACAGGGAAAAUUUUUAAAGUUUAUUUUAAGAAACCAUAAACUGGGUAUCUAUAAGUUGUUAUUUUGGUAUCUAUAAGUUGUUAAUGAAAAAAUAACUAUUUUCCAAAACAAAAACCCAAUGAAAAAGGGAACACUGUUUUAUAUUUUUGCAAAUCUCUAAUGCCUGGCAUAGAACAUAGCUGGAUUCUCACAUCUGAUCUGUAUUCAAUCUCUCACCAUAUCAUACAGAAUAUAGUCUCUGGAAAACUCCAGUGUAUGCUCAUGAGAGAAAAAGGCAAAUAACAUCUUGUAUGAGUUUCCUAGGGCUGCUGUAACAAACGACCAUAGACGAGGGGGCUGAAAACAACAGAUAUUUAUUCUCUUGCAGUUUGGGAAGCCAGGAAUUCAAAAUCAAGAUGUCAGCAGGGGUGAUUCUUUCUGGAAACUCUGAGGGAGAUUCAUUCUAUGACUCUUUCUUUACUAACUUCUGGUGGUUGCCCUCAAUCCCUGGUGUUCCUUAGCAUAUAACUGCACCGCUAUGACUCUGUCUCCAAUGUUAUCUUCCCUAUUUCUAAGCGUCUCUCUCCUUAGAGGAGCAAUGCUCAUUAGACCUGGGGGCCACCCUAAUCCCGAAUGCCCUCAUCUUAACUUGAAUGCAUCUGUAAAGACCCUAUUUAUAAAUAGAUUCACAUUCAUAGGUUCUGGUAGACAUGAGUUUUGAGGAGACAGACUCUACAGUUUACCCUCUGGUCCCUCCAAAUUCACAUCCAUCUCACAGGCAAAAUAUACACUUUCCAUCCCUCCAUUCCCCAGUGUCUUCACCGAUCUUGGUGUCCUCUCCAUCUGUGAAUCUGUGAAACUAGGAAACAAGUUAUCAGCCUAGGAAAUACAAUGAUGAGACAAGUGUAUGAAGACAUUCCUAGAGAGGAGAGAAGAUGGCUUGGACAUGAAGCUCACCUACUUCCACAAAUACAUCGAGAAUGCACCCACAUGUGGAACGAUUUGCACAGAAAAUUUGCAGAAUGUUGGUAAAAAGACUUCAGGAUUCUGAUAGAGCAAGACAAUCUUCACAAAACCAGGCAGGACAAAAUAAGGAGAGAAAAUGAGAAAGGAGUCGGGAUGGGAUGUGCACCCCUAGGAAGGAGCUAUUAAGAAGAAAAGCUCCUGCACCCUGGAAAGUACCCCCACCAGCAAGGAGAUCAGCCAGGGCAGAGGAAGAACCUUUAGAACCUUGGAAGAGAACACAGCCAUCCAUGGGAAGCAGUUAUGGAAACAGUUCUCCACAAAUGUUUCUUCUCGAUAGAGCUCAAUGGCCUCCAUGAUCCUCUCAGCCUAUACAGAUGACGACAAAGGACAGAAACCACAACCCACUCAUCAUCCCAUAACACUGCAAAGAUGAAGUUACCAUAUGCAAUAGCUUGAGUCAAUUUAAUAAAGAUGGGCCAGUAGGUGCCAAACAGCAUCUAAA